rnacentral:lncRNA from 1 species
AGAGGUGGCUCUCUCUCUUUCGCAGCAGAGACAUGGCUGGUGGCAGUGUGCUGAGCAUCUUGACGUCUUGGCGUGCCUGCAGAUCUUGUGCAGGUUUGGCGGUGAGCAUCUUGGCAUUGCUCAGGGGUCACCUGAAGGCUCUCCAAGAGGGCAGCUGGACACAGACUCUGGACUCUGGGGUCUACAGGAAGUACCCCUGGGCAGCUACAGGACUGUGAGGGCUGAGGAAGGCCAGAGGCAUCGCAUUUACUCUACAGAGGCAUGUACCUCCUCCUCCACUCAACCUAUCUAGGCUGUUCACCAGCCAUUGCCCCCUGGGCCAUGGCCCCUCCUCCCGUGGCCCCACAGACCAGGCGCACACCAGACAACCACGGCGGAGUUGCAUCACAGCCUGGGCCGAAGGCCUGCUUUCGUAACAGAGAGUCAAGGAAUUGCAGAGUCAUCCAGUUAUUUAAGCCCAAAGGUCACUUGGACUCAAGUCCCUGCAAUGAACCCUGGUGUCCGAAUUCCAGGGAGCCCCGAGUCCACAGAAGGGACCCAGCAGAGCCGUGGCGGAGGACGGGGAGCCCUACCAGGCCGCGGAAGGCCACGCACGCAUCGGGUGCCACCUGUUGGAGCUGGACCACGACGGCCGCCACAGAAGCCCCCCUCACUGGAAGGCGGCGGUGCGGACGAAUGACCCUGGGGAGAGGAGAGGCACCAGUGCCCACACGCGGCACCUCUUUGGGCAUCUGCCCGGGCGGGCAGGAGGGGCCGCCGGCCGACACGCCCAUCCGCUCCAGAGGGAAGAGGCGACCCGACAGGCACUGCCAGGCUGAGCAGCCCGAAGCAGCUGGGGCUCGCCAUCUAGCGGGGGAGGCGGGGGUCCCGGCGGAGGGGGAUUUGGGGGGCCCCAAAGGGACGCCCCGACAAAAAGGGAGCCAGAAGGCGUUGGCGCCUCUCCUAGUGCACAGCCCGGAGCCCUUCAGGCACCCGGACUGGGCGGCACAGGCUGGGGUCCGCAGGCAGGCGCCUUUCUUCCCUCCAGCCCGGGAAGCCCGGCCCCCGUCCGGCUGAAAUGGGGGGCAGCAAGGCCGCGACGGACCCGCGGUGGGCAGCAGGGGGCGGCGGCUCCAGGGUUGGGAGCAGGUUGGCAAGGCCGGGCUGUGGGCGGGGUGGGGGAGGGGAAGAGAUGGCAAAGAUCCGCUGUGGACGGGCACCCCUCGCGGGGGUGUGGGCGAGGGGCGGCCAGAGAAGGGCCUCGAGAGGGGGAGGGGACCCCAGGGACGGCGGGGCCUCGGAUUCCUAGGACAGUCCCUCGCGUGUACUCGGCACUGACUGCGGGCCGGGCACUGCGCCAAGCCUCACUGCCAGGCGCUGGCGCUGGUGUUCUCGUUCUACAGAGGAGGAAACUGAGGCCAGCGGCCGCUCCGUGACUCCCCCAGGGCCCCAGACAAGUACAGAGGAGGCCAGCCUGGACCUCGAGGCAUCCGGGCCGGCGGGCACAUCCAGGGGGCGGCGGUGCCCGACGCCUCUCGGAGCCCCCCGGGGGCGGGCGGGCGGGGGGGACCCCAGAGGAAGGGGAGGCGCGUCCUGAACACGAGGCACCCUGGCUGGCACGGGCACCUCGCCCAGGACUCUUCGAGCCCAGGCUGGGGAGCACUGCUGGAAGCCGCCCCAGGGAAGCUCUUUGCCUGGGGGAGGGAGCCGAGCGAGUGGGAAAUGCUGCCCCUUGUGCCCGCACCAGGCUCUCCUCCCAGCACCCAGCCGGCAGGGCUCAGCAUCCUGCUCCCCGGGCGGGAGGGGUGACGUUGGGGGGGCUCCCCCUCCCCCACCCCCAGACCAGCCCAGGAAGCGAAUCUCCACCCUGGGCGCAGGCCAAGCGGGGCUGCCCAAGGCGGCUGGGGAUGGCCGGGCGGGCGGGCAAGAGGCUCGUCCCCUUGAGAACCCCAGAAACCCCCCAAAACAACAUGGUGCCCCAAACAAGGGGAAAACCGUAGGGGCUCGCCCGGGGCUCCCCAGGGUCCCUCCAGUCCCAGUCCCAGCCUCGGCCCUGGCACCUGCCGCCCAUCACCCA